rnacentral:rRNA from 1 species
GAUGAACGCUGGCGGCGUGCCUAAUACAUGCAAGUCGAGCGAACAGACGAGGAGCUUGCUCCUCUGACGUUAGCGGCGGACGGGUGAGUCACAUGUGGAUAACCUACCUAUAAGACUGGGAUAACUUCGGGAAACCGGAGCUAAUACCGGAUAAUAUAUUGAAUCGCAUGGUUCAAUAGUGAAAUACGGUUUUGCUGUCACUUAUAGCUGGAUCCGCGCCGCAUUAGCUAGUUGGUAAGGUAACGGCUUACCAAGGCAGCGAUGCGUAGCCGACCCGAGAGAGACAACCGCCACACUGGAAGUGAGACACGUUCCAGACUCCGACGGUAGGCCACAGCAGGGAAUCUUACGCAAUGGAGGAAAGCCUGACGGAGCAACGCCGCGUGAAUGAUGAAGGUCUUCGGCUCGUAAAACUCUGUUAUUAGGGAAGAACAAAUGUGUAAGUAACUAUGCACAUCUUGACGGUACCUAAUCAGAAAGCCACGGCUAACUACGUG